rnacentral:rRNA from 1 species
CGUCGGAAAAUCCGCGUGAGGGAGAGGCUCUUGGGUUGUAAAACCUCUUUUCUCAGGGAAGAAAAAAAUGACGGUACCUGAGGAAUAAGCAUCGGCUAACUCCGUGCCAGCAGCCGCGGUAAUACGGAGGAUGCAAGCGUUAUCCGGAAUGAUUGGGCGUAAAGCGUCCGCAGGUGGCUAUGUAAGUCUGCUGUUAAAGAGUGAGGCUCAACCUCAUAAAAGCAGUGGAAACUACAUAGCUAGAGUGCGUUCGGGGCAGAGGGAAUUCCUGGUGUAGCGGUGAAAUGCGUAGAGAUCAGGAAGAACACCGGUGGCGAAAGCGCUCUGCUAGGCCGCAACUGACACUGAGGGACGAAAAGCUAGGGGAGCGAAAAGGGAUUAGAUACCCCCUGUAGUCA